rnacentral:misc_RNA from 1 species
CUGAGUUACAAAACUCCCAAACCCGUGUGAACCUACCACUGUUGCUUCGGCGGCCACGCCCCGGGAGCCGCCUGUGCGCCCCGGAUCCAGGCGUCCGCCGGAGGACCCAAACUCUUGAUUUCUACAGAGAAUCUUCUGAGUACACUACAAAAUGAAUCA